rnacentral:piRNA from 1 species
AUGGCGGAUAGGAAGACUAACGG